GACGAACGCUGGCGGCGUGCCUAAUACAUGCAAGUCGAACGCAGUGGGGACGGGUGAGUAACACGUGGGUAACCUCCCAUCAGAGGGGAUACCACUUGGAAACAGGUCUUAACCCCAUACUGAGGGAUGGCCCCGGGGUGCAUUAGCUAGUUGGUGAGGUAACGGCUCACCAAGGCCACGAUGCAUAGCCGACCUGAGAGGGUGAUCGGCCACACUGGGACUGAGACACGGCCCAGACUCCUACGGGAGGCAGGAGUAGGGAAUCUUCGGCAAUGGACGAAAGUCUGACCGAGCAACGCCGCGUGAGUGAAGAAGGUUUUCGGAUCGUAAAACUCUGUUGUUAGAGAAGCGGUAUCUAACCAGAAAGCCACGGCUAACUACGUGCCAGCAGCCGCGGUAAUUC
rnacentral:rRNA from 1 species